rnacentral:tRNA from 1 species
GCUGAGGUAGCUCAGUUGGUAGAGCAUUCGCCUGAAGAGCGAGGGGUCGCCGGUUCAAGCCCGGCCCUCAGCACCA